AACUGGUGCACCGACAGCGUGGCGUUAUACGGCUCUACCACCGUGUCCGACACCUGCAAGCAUACGCCACACAACUUGCCAACCCAGCAACAAACAAGCAAGCAAACAAACAAGCCUAGGACAGGGACCGAAGGAGGGCUUUGGUUAAUUCGGUGAUGAACCUUUGGGUUCCUGAAGCCAUCAAGUUAGUUAGUUUAUAAAACCUGAGACACAUCAAGACAUCUAAAUCAAAUAACUUUACCAAUCAGUAGUAAUAUCCUGCAUGUUCAAAUGGCAACUGAAAGGUGCAGAUUGUUGUACAGUGGAAUUAAAUUAUAAAGACAUCCAAAAAGACUCUUCAGCACUCAUUGCCUGUAAUUUUCUGGUGUCUGAUAUUACUCAGAUACCAAGUGACAGGACAAACUCAGUUUCAGCCUUUAGUAGCUUCAGUUACUGAAAGUGGUUUGACAAAUUAUUUAAUUAAAUAGGUUCCUAUACUGUAAGAAUCAGUGGAUUAAAGAAAGCACAAUCAUUUCACAUUUGCAAUAACAGACAUAAUAGCAUCCUACUCAAGCUAUUACAAUAACAAGGCUUUUUUUUUUGUUCCUUCCAUGAAUCGGCAUUAAUCAGAUUUUGCACGACUACUCUUAUAUUAUGUGAAAUUUCUCACACAUUUUUCUUCCAUUCUAGAGUGAAAGGAAUGGGGAAAGAGGAGAAAAUUGCACUCAAAAUUAUUGCAGUUCAACAACAAACAUAAUGUAACUUAUUUAUUAACAAAUUUAUUAUGUGUACAUGCAGUUCCAUUCCCAGAUGUGUGAUUCCAGAUGAAAAUAUAAACCAAUUAAUCAAAUAAUGCUAUUGAGAACAAUAUGUAUAAUUACAGCAUGUGGUAAUUAAUUUUAAGUCACACUACAAGCAUAUUUAUGACAGUACUGGGAUCAUGUGUUGUGCACCAUUACAAAAAUACUGCUAAGUUUCUUCUCUAUUACUCUUUACGGCUUUGGUAGUCUUUCAGGUGUGUCAAGACCCAUGCAGGAGUGAAGCAGAUACCUAAUACAAUCAAGACACCAUGGACUACCUUCUCCUGUAAAAAAGAAAAUUAAAUCAGUAACUUCAGACAUGUCAUAUGCAUCUCUAGUGUGUAUGUUUAAAAAAUGCACUUAAAAAGAAGAAACCAUGUAAAAAUCCUAUGUAUUCUGAGUGCCUAAUAAUGAAUCUCAUGCAAAA